rnacentral:rRNA from 1 species
AGUGAACGCUGGCGGUAGGCCUAACACAUGCAAGUCGAACGGCAGCACAGUAAGAGCUUGCUCUUACGGGUGGCGAGUGGCGGACGGGUGAGGAAUACAUCGGAAUCUACUUUUUCGUGGGGGAUAACGUAAGGAAACUUACUCUCAUACCGCAUACGACCUACGGUUGAAAGCAUGGGAUCUUCGGACCUUGCGCGAUUGAAUGAGCCGAUGUCGGAUUAGCUAGUUGGCGGGGUAAAUGCCAACCAAGGCGACGAUCCGUAGCUGGUAUGAGAGGAUGGUCAGCCGGACUGGAACGGAGACACGGUCCAGACUCCUACGGGAGGCAGCAGUGGGGAUUAUUGGAGCAAGGGUGGGAGCCUGAUCCAGCCAGGCGGCGGGGGUGAAGAGGGACUUCGGGUUGUAAAGCACUGCUGUUGGGAAAGAAACGGAGCAGGUUAAUGCCCAGCUGUUCUGACGGUACCCAAAGAAUAAGCCACGGCUAACUUCGUG